rnacentral:rRNA from 1 species
AGCGAACGCUGGCGGCAGGCCUAACACAUGCAAGUCGAACGAACUCUUCGGAGUUAGUGGCGGACGGGUGAGUAACACGUGGGACCGUGCCUUUAGGUUCGGAAUAACUCAGGGAAACUUGUGCUAAUACCGAAUGUGCCCUUCGGGGGAAAGAUUUAUCGCCUUUAGAGCGGCCCGCGUCUGAUUAGCUAGUUGGUAGUGUAAUGGACUACCAAGGCUACGAUCAGUAGCUGGUCUGAGAGGAUGAUCAGCCACAUUGGGACUGAGACACGGCCCAAACUCCUACGGGAGGCAGCAGUGGGGAAUCUUGCGCAAUGGGCGAAAGCCUGACGCAGCCAUGCCGCGUGAAUGAUGAAGGUCUUAGGAUUGUAAAAUUCUUUCACCGGGGACGAUAAUGACGGUACCCGGAGAAGAAGCCCCGGCUAACUUCGUGCCAGCAGCCGCUGUAACAC